UACGUAGGGAGCAAGCGUUGUCCGGAUUUAUUGGGCGUAAAGAGCUCGUAGGCGGCUUAGCAAGUCGGGUGUGAAACCUCCAGGCUCAACCUGGAGACGCCACUCGAUACUGCUAUGGCUUGAGUUCGGUAGGGGACCAUGGAAUUCCUGGUGUAGCGGUGAAAUGCGCAGAUAUCAGGAGGAACACCGAUGGCGAAGGCAGUGGUCUGGGCCGAUACUGACGCUGAGACGCGAAAGCGUGGGGAGCGAACAGG
rnacentral:rRNA from 1 species